rnacentral:rRNA from 1 species
AAAUUGAAGAGUUUGAUCAUGGCUCAGAUUGAACGCUGGCGGCAGGCCUAACACAUGCAAGUCGAACGGUAACAGGAAGMAGCUUGCUUCUUUGCUGACGAGUGGCGGACGGGUGAGUAAUGUCUGGGAAACUGCCUGAUGGAGGGGGAUAACUACUGGAAACGGUAGCUAAUACCGCAUAACGUCGCAAGACCAAAGAGGGGGACCUUCGGGCCUCUUGCCAUCGGAUGUGCCCAGAUGGGAUUAGCUUGUUGGUGGGGUAACGGCUCACCAAGGCGACGAUCCCUAGCUGGUCUGAGAGGAUGACCAGCCACACUGGAACUGAGACACGGUCCAGACUCCUACGGGAGGCAGCAGUGGGGAAUAUUGCACAAUGGGCGCAAGCCUGAUGCAGCCAUGCCGCGUGUAUGAAGAAGGCCUUCGGGUUGUAAAGUACUUUCAGCGGGGAGGAAGGGAGUAAAGUUAAUACCUUUGCU